rnacentral:tRNA from 1 species
GCGCCCUUAGCUCAGUUGGAUAGAGCAACGAUCUUCUAAGUCGUGGGCCGCAGGUUCGAAUCCUGCAGGGCGCGCCA